rnacentral:tRNA from 1 species
GUCCCGUUGGCGUAGUGGAUUAACGCACUGGACUUCUAAUCCAGGGAUCAUGGGUUCGAAUCCCAUACGGGACG